rnacentral:lncRNA from 1 species
CGAGCGAGUCAAGUGCGCGCGUCGUAGUAGCGCCGUUGGAGGCCGAGCGAGCGCGGAAUUUCUUCUCCUAUUGGCUUCUCGCUGUCGUGGAUUAGCAUUUGAGGUGGUUUAUCAUCGGAUUCCUUUUCCUAUAGCUUUAUUAGUCGACAUGUAUCGUUGGUGUUGCACGUUACUAUUGUUUAGCUCAAAUCCAUGGGUAUGCAUGUUUUAGACAUAUAAACUGAAUUUGGAGCAUGUUAUUAGUUAUUAUUAAUUAUACAUUUUGGACUUGUAUUUGACAUAGGAGAAAACCAGUGUUCGGAGCCUGUCAUAUGUUAAACUACCUGAUUUAGCUCUAGGAGCCGCUGUAUUUUUAUACUGUUACAGUAUUCUUGUGGUGAGUACCCCAGUACCCUAGGUAGUUCAGAUUACUAUUACGCUCGUGCUGGGAUGCCGAGCCGAUUUUUACAGUAGUGUUUACAUUGUUCGGGACUAGUGGGUGCCGUAGUGGUUGACGGCGGACCUAGAUUGUCAUUUUGGUAUCAGAUUGUGCCGAGGGCACGUGACUAGUUGGUUUGUAGUCCAGUUAGACCCUAUUUACUUGGUUGAACCUAUGAGAGCCAGAAUGAAAUGACAGAGACACUUGUAACUCGUGGGUCGCACCCGCGAAUGCCAUUCCGGAAUGAGGUUUCAGUGCGAUGAGUGUCGCAGUUUCUGUUGGACAGUUUUUGAGCCGGCCACCCUCGGGGUGGUGUACGGUGUAGCGGGAUACAGGCAGGGUGGGUCCGUUUGGGCAGCCCGGGUGAGAUAGUCAGUGACUUUUACUACAGUUGGUUAUUGUAGAGCAUGCUAGUGUAGGGACAUGUAGCUGUAGAUUUCUUUC